UAAUACGUAGGGUGCGAGCGUUAAUCGGAAUUACUGGGCGUAAAGCGUGCGCAGGCGGGCUUUUAAGCCAGACGUGAAAUCCCCGGGCUUAACCUGGGAAUGGCGUUUGGGACUGGAAGUCUGGAGUGCGGCAGAGGAGACUGGAAUUCCUGGUGUAGCAGUGAAAUGCGUAGAUAUCAGGAGGAACA
rnacentral:rRNA from 1 species